AGAGUUUGAUCAUGGCUCAGGAUAAACGCUGGCGGCGCACAUAAGACAUGCAAGUCGAACGAACUUAACUCAUUCUUUACGAUUGAGAGCGGUUAGUGGCGGACUGGUGAGUAACACGUAAGCAAUCUGCCUAUUAGAGGGGAAUAACACUGAGAAAUCAGUGCUAAUACCGCAUAAGCCACAAACAUCGCAUGAUGAAAGUGGGAAAGGAGCAAUCCGCUAAUAGAUGAGCUUGCGUCUGAUUAGUUAGUUGGUGGGGUAACGGCCUACCAAGACGACGAUCAGUAGCCGGACUGAGAGGUUGAACGGCCACAUUGGGACUGAGAUACGGCCCAGACUCCUACGGGAGGCAGCAGUCGGGAAUAUUGCGCAAUGGAGGGAACUCUGACGCAGUGACGCCGCGUAUAGGAAGAAGGUUUUCGGAUUGUAAACUAUUGUCCACAGGGAGGAGAAAGGACAGUACCUGUGAAGAAAGCUCCGGCUAACUACGUGCCAGCAGCCGCGGUAAUACGUAGGGAGCAAGCGUUAUCCGGAAUUAUUGGGUGUAAAGGGUGCGUAGACGGGAAUUUAAGUUAGUUGUGAAAUCCCUCGGCUCAACUGAGGAACUGCAACUAAAACUGAAUUUCUUGAGUGCAGGAGAGGAAAGUGGAAUUCCUAGUGUAGCGGUGAAAUGCGUAGAUAUUAGGAGGAACACCAGUGGCGAAGGCGACUUUCUGGACUGUAACUGACGUUGAGGCACGAAAGUGUGGGGAGCAAACAGGAUUAGAUACCCUGGUAGUCCACACUGUAAACGAUGGAUA
rnacentral:rRNA from 1 species